GACGAACGCUGGCGGCGUGCUUAACACAUGCAAGUCGAACGAUGAAGCCGGAGCUUGCUCCGGUGGAUUAGUGGCGAACGGGUGAGUAACACGUGAGCAAUCUGCCCUUGACUCUGGGAUAACUGCGGGAAACUGUAGCUAAUACCGGAUACGACACCUUGGGGCAUCCCAGGGUGUGGAAAGAGUUUCGGUCAAGGAUGAGCUCGCGGCCUAUCAGCUAGUUGGUGAGGUAAUGGCUCACCAAGGCGACGACGGGUAGCCGGCCUGAGAGGAUGACCGGGCACACUGGAACUGAGACACGGUCCAGACUCCCACGGGAGGCAGCAGUGGGGAAUGUUGCACAAUGGGCGAAAGCCUGAUGCAGCAACGCCGCGUGAGGGAUGAGGGCCUUCGGGUUGUAAACCUCUUUUAGCAGGGAAGAAGCGAAAGUGACGGUACCUGCAGAAAAAGCACCGGCUAACUACGUGCCAGCCGCCGCAGUAA
rnacentral:rRNA from 1 species